CGUGAAUUGAAGGUGAAAUGACAUGUGAUGUUGUACACUAAACACACUGGGACACUCAUUUAUUGACGCUGAAAUAACGUUUCAUCAGAAUUAUAUAUAUAUGAAUAAUAUAAGAUAUAAUAUGUUACUUUAUAUGUACAUGCUAUGGUAGUAGCCUACGGCGUAGUGUCAAAACAACUAGGGUCGUGGGAGUGCGGUCCUGAGAGUGCGGCCUCCGACGCUGCAGCUUCAUACCAUUGAAUUGAAGCCGGAGGAAACAAAGUUAAUCGAAGUGGAAAAGAAGGUGUGGGACAUUCCAAAAGUGAGCACUCCACGAAUGGACGACAGUUUGCUGGGGAAAAUAAAACAUUGUCAACAUAUUAUUUUGUGCCACAAGAAGCAGAAUGUUUUAACAGUACAGUAGUUUGAAUAUAUUUGUUGUUUACCUUUAUCAGACCUCUCAGGCACCCACAACCAGCGUCUGAUCGGGAUGCAGCACCAACGCCAUUCCAGGAAGAGGUCCAGUCUGCCCCGGGUCAGAACCACUUCUAUAGCACAGAAUACCUGACUGCGGAGGACAUUGUUGCAGAACUCUCUGCAAAAAGAACAAAUACAUCUUGCAGCCGGUUCAAUAUGAAUAGAGCCAGUGUGUGGGAUGGAGCAACCGCGGCUUCAAAGGUGCCUCAUUCGACCCCUCAUGAGACGUCAGUUAAGUUCACUGAGGAUGAGGGACACACUGAGGAUGAGGGACACACUGAGGAUGAGGGACACACUGAGGAUGAGGGACACACUGAUGAUGAGGGACACACUGAGGAUGAGGGACACACUGAGGAUGAGGGAC